GAAUUGUGUGAACGCAUCCAUAUAGCUUUGUUGCAUGAGCCACAGGCUAUUUUGUUUCUGGCAGGUUAUAGUCAAAGACCAAUCGUUGUAUGAUUGCACAGUUUCAUCUUCACAGCUUAAGCAAUAUAAGAGGUUAGUGUUUGAGCAUGUCCUCGGCAUGGUCCUCUCUGAUGAAGUCUUGUUUUAAAGGUCCCCUCCUCUGGGCGAGGGCUGCGCAGCUCCUCCCUGCUUAUCUGUGGAUGACUGGAGCCAAAGUCAGACUGGUGGGAAAUGACAGGAGACCGGCUGGAGACCCUUCCCAGGGGCUCUGCCACAUGGCUGCUCCCUGGGACCCCAGGGACAGAACACUGUUGGCAGGAACACCACCAUCCGCCCACUACGAAGGCAGACAUGGCAAUUAGCAGAUCUCAUCAUCAUUACCAGGAGUAGUAAUGUAGGGUCAAGGUUCAGUAUGUAAAACUGAGGUGGGAAAAAAACAACAACACUUUGUUAAAAAGCAGUUUCAACGCUGACUAGCACAUGAAAUGAUAUAAAUGAUUUUAAUUUUU